GUAUUCUGAAAAGCAAUAUUAUAGAAUGGGGAAAAAAGACCAAGGAACUGUAAGUUCUCAUUAGUAUUGCUUGUUGUGAGCUUCUUUGACUUUUCGAUUUUAUUAUUCAAUCAGGUAACAAACACCUGUCGAGGAGCCCCUAUUAAAGAAGACAGACGAGGGCCACCUUCAAGGGGUUCGUAGUCCAGUGCUUGCUGCCCGCUAAGGGCUGGAGCUGUGAUGGCUGCUCCUGGGCAGCAAGGCAGGGGCUCCUCCUCUCCUGGGAUCUGCUUCACCACACCCUGCUCUGCUCCUACCCCAGUUCCAGCUGAAGUUUUCUUUUUGCAUUCAAGAAAAUAUCAUACUUCAUGUCAAGAACUGGAUUUUUUUCUUUUAAAGGACUGGAGAGCGCCCGCGGGUCUCGAACCACCGGACCAAUCGGCCCGGGCGGUUGGGAAGCCGGACUGGGAGGAACCGCUGGGCUAAAGCCAGCCCGAUAUUAUUUCUUUUAGCUCUAUGGCUGCAACUAAUUUCCAAUCAACUUUAAGAUAUUGCUUUAUUCCUUCAUGACAAAAAGCAGAAGAGGAAAGCUCUGACUCGAGCUCACGUACCUCUAGGCGCCCCUCUGCAGCCGGCAUCUUGUGUUCUGUGGCCUUCACUGUGAAGUCCUUUGUGUUCUUUCUGAUCUUGAGUUUCUUCAGUCUCGCUGGUGGCUUUCUCAGCGGCUCCUCAGAUGUGUCCACCUGGAAGAAGACGUCUUUUAAAACAGAGCAACAACUAUCUCCACUGGUGGAAGAGAAAGCCAGGAGAAGCAGAGGAUUGCAGUUUAUUGAUUAAUCCAUUGGUCACUGAGUCUUCCAAAGAAAAAGAAAGAAGAAAAAGAAAUAUUUAUCAUUUUUGGAGACCAGUGCAGCAGUGAGUUCUGGAUAGGGGCUCAUUUUGUCACUUAACAUUUCCAAGUGGAGAUCCUGAAAAAUGUAAUUGAUUUAAUAACAGCAGCAGCAGCAAUAACAACAAAUGCUCUCACUGGAAUUGAAGGCAAAAUUGAGACUUUUCAGUGGAUGGUUUUCCACAGACAUUCCACAAGAUGACAGACUGGAACGGACUUAAGCAUCACACUCUUGAAGAAUGACUUCAUAAUUACUUCAGCAGGGCCUGCUAUAGGGCCACUGGAAUCCAGAUCUCAGCGAGGAGCUCUGCCUACUUGUGUUGAGAGACAGUCUGCUAUUAGCUGACAAAACACAACGGUUUAGCAUCAGGUAGCAUGGACCAGCCUACAGGGCAGAAAUCUAAGGCUUUUCUUUUUUGAAACACUAAGAUAAUCGUUCAACUAUCUUAUCAACAUGCAACACAUAUUGAGAAUUUUCGCUCAAUUUCAUAAUAAUUUAGACUUAGUAAUAGGCAUAGUUCAACGACUAGUGAGAUUGCCAGUUUAAUUGAAUGUAUGCCACUCGGAUAUGACCAACAGUGUUUCUGUUCCAUGGAUACACACAUUUGCACACCAAAAAGAAAUCUGUCUGCAGUAUAUGAGAAUGGCACUGAGGAAAUCGGGUGAGAGAUUUUACCUUUUUCUUAAGAUGAAGUUGUAGAAGUACAAGUCCAUCGUGUUUCUGCAUUUGCUAUCAAUUUUAUUUUGUACUUUAGUGCUCUAAGUAUAACAUUUUAUCAGUUUUAGACAGAAUGAAUCCCAAGGUAACAGUCAUGCAUAAAAAUCAUCAGCAUUCCCAAAAUAGAUAUUGCUUUUAACUAUAGACAGGUGUUCCUCGCUUGUUUUUGUGUGUGUGUAUGCAAACUUUUUGAGAAAUUUUUGGUUGAGAGGUACUAUAUGUGUUCUACAGCAUUUGGAAAAUGUAUUGGCCAAAUGGCUUGGAUAGUAUAAUUUGUUGAGGCUCCCCAGAGCUGAAACCCUCUUAAAUCAAAUUAUUAGCAGAUGCAGUUCAUAAAUAUAUUUGUCUGUACACAUAUAAGGAGAUUUUUGUUCUUCAAAGUUAGAUUUUUUUCUAGUUUACUUCUAGUAAAUGAAGAAAAAAUAGCAACUGUAAAAACACUCAGUGAUAUGAUUGUUUAAAAAAGCUAAACAUUAAAAAGAGAUUUAGCCUUGGUACAGACAAUACACAAAAAUUUUCUUAUCAGAUUUAGUGAAAAACAGAACAAUUUUUGGAGGUCAUUUGAAGCUUCCCCUGUUUAAAAUAGGCAAGGAAAAGUGAGUUAUUUAUAUAAAGGAAGAGCACUUUUCCAAGCAGGAAAGUUUUCUGUGCUUUUAUUAGUAUACACUGUUUUAUUGCAGUGUCUUCUUGCCACUUUAGACUAAGGUGAAAAGUAAGUCUGUAGACAAUCCUCAAGAAGUUUAAUUCAGAAUAUAUUAAAGUUGUGCUGCUAAGAAACAUAAAUAUUUCAUUCCGGCAAACAUGUUCAUUGCAUUUUGAGGACACUGCUGAACUCUAAAUUCUAUGCAUUUAUGAAAACAGUGGAAGCAUUACUAUUCUGAUAGCUAUAGAGUGUUUAAUUAAUUAUAACCAUAUCCUUCCCAGAUCAGACUUCCAAAGUCAAGUGCUUUGGGCCAUGGAAAGAAAAGGUAUACUCAUGAGUCGACUCUGAGUCUAUUUUCAGGUUAUUUUAAUAUUGAAUUUCCUCCUUAUAGACUGUCAUUAGUCUAGUUAUGCUACUAGGAGACAAGAGCACUAAGGAAUCUGGGGAGCUGGGGGUGGUGAGGGGAGGCGACCUAGUCACUCAAGAACUAUACACUGCUGCCUGGUCUGCACAAGGCAAUGCAGCGAGCACUAAAGACACAGACAUUAAAAAUAAAACAAAAAGCUGUCCUUAAGGAGGUGACAGCUCAAAAGUGGAAAGCAAAUCUGGAAACAAAUAAAUAUGAUAAAAAUGAUUUUCAAUCUGAUAAGAGAAGGCAUCGCAUCAGCCCUGUCAGCAUGGUGGCAGGGGCGGGUGGGGUCCUCAAAUGGAUAGAAAAGAACUUCCCUGAGACCUUUUGAAAGAUGAGUAGAAUUUGGCAAGUGGCCUUGGAAAAGAGGAAGAAAAAAGUCUGAAAGGAGGGAAAAGAGCAGCUGUAAAGCAUGAAGGCAGAACGGGAAGGAGUCUUGGGAGGAACCAGUCAGGUCUGCAGAAUACGAAUGUGGGGAGAGAUAAAGGGGGAGAGGUUGGCAGCAGUCAGGUCAAGAACAGCUGAGAAUGGCACGCUAAGGGAUGAGGACUUCACUUUAUAACAAACAGUAAAUAAUAAUCAUUGCAGUAAGAUAGUAAGCUCUUAUUCUGUGCAGGCAGGGGUAGGAACACUAUGUCGACUGAAUUAAUGUAAUGCUCACAUAACUCUAUAAAAUAAGUAUCACCAAUAAAUUUAUUUUACAGAUAAGGAAACUGAGGCACAGAGAGGUUAAAAACAUGAUUCACGCCACAUGAUUAAUAAAUAACAAAUCCAAAAAUUAAACUUUGAUU